UGGAAAGUUAUCUAGGAAAUCUCAGCAGAUGAGAAAAAAAUCAAUUUUGAUUUUGAAAAAAAUAUGGCUACACACUUCCUAAUGGAGGAAAAAGCAAGUAGCAGUAAUAGCAAUUGCGUCUUGUGGUAAUAACAAGUCCCAUAGUCCCAUGCAUUCUACCCCCUUUGUCUUGGAGCAGCAAAAGACAUGCUGUCUUUUGCAUGGGAAUCUGAGAGGAGAAAUGCACAUUUACUGUUUAGUUUCCUGUCACUUCUUCAUUUUCUUGGAGAAAAAAGCCAUUGGUGAGUACAAUGCAAAGAAUGUGGAUAAAUACGGAAAGAGAGAUUAGGAUGAUCACAGGGAGUUCUCUUUGCAAGGGGAGCUGUGAGGGAGAAGUUACACAAAUUUAGAUAGAGUAAAUCUGUUAUAAAAAUUGUGGUGGGGUUCAGCUCAAGACAUAGUCAAGGGAGAGCUUAUCAGAGCAGUCACAUUUUAGGUCAUGGUGCAGUUGAGCAGCUGAACAAAACUAGUUCAGGUUAAGUUACUUUGCUGUCCAGGCUCCACUGCCCAGACUGCAAGCUUAGACACCUGGCUCAUGUAUGUCUGCAUUUUUUCGGUCUUCGUAAGCGGAGACUUAUGCUGUAUGCCUUCUAAAAUUUGAGAUUAAUUGCUACCCACUAUUUUGGUCUUCCUUCCCCCAGCACAGCAUCAUCGUACUGACAGGUCUUCAUCGCUCGCCAGCCUCAUACGCAGCUUCCACCUCCACAUCCUGCCCUCUAACCCAGGGGCUCAAUAAAAACUCAGGCCUGGUCACUUGGCUUCUGUACGGGUUAUACUGCUGGUGUGAUUGUGUCCUACCUAGCUAUAAUUAUUCUUUGCUGUGAGGGCCUGUUGUUUCUUAUGGUAGGCUGACUUUGAAGUUUGACUUUAGAUGUGCCUCGUAAUCUUGAGCUUUUCUGAAGAGUUGGACUCCGGGCAUGACUACCACCUCCCGGUUUGCGUUGCUUGCCUUGUUCAGAUACUGCUGGGCUGGAUCUUGGUUGGGGAGCCUCUUCCCUGCCGGGCAUGCUGCCACGCUCUGCUGCUGGCUGCCUGUCCUUAGGGAGCAGCCACCUCUUACUGCUACCUGACAGCCAUCGUGUCUGUAUCAUCCUGUCUUCUGUGUCCUUUGCAGGCAUCUUUUUCCCCAUGCAUUUCAUACAUCUCUAUAGGUUUUCUCCCUUUCCAAAUGUCAUACCUAUUCUACCUGGAUGCUGUCGUUAUCACCCACCAUUUCAAACACUCAACUGAACUUUGAAACACUAUCCUGCUCCUCCGUGCAUUUAUGCUGUUUUGGUUGAUCUUGCCUACUGCACGGGAACUGUUGAGUCAUGGCCUGAACCACUGAUUGAUCACCUGAGGAAAGGACCGAGUCAGCAAUGGGAGCACAGGUGAAGGCAAUUCAGCUGUGGGACAGGAAAUGUGGAGCCUGACCGCAGCUCUCCUACACCCCAUUUAAGGGCUGACCCCUUCUGGGGAAGGGUUUCUUUCUGGAGAUCCCUCCUCUGAAGUCUUUCCUGCAAACCUAGAUCUUCAGCUACAGGUGAUGAAAGAGCUGGUAUCAAUGGGACAGAAGCGUGCAGCAAAGCCGAAGAUGGCUUGGAAUGAUUAACAGAGCUACGUGAAACAGCUGAGCAACUCUCAGUAGAAACAGCAGUAACAGCUUCCAUUCCUGGCUCUGAGAUUCCGUCCGGGCCACCCAAGGCUUGUCAGUAUCCACUGAGAGAACGGGCGGCACUGCGGGCUCGCGUCACUCCGAUCGGAGCAGCUGUUUCCGCGGUCUCUGCUGCCACUGCGUGGUCAAGCUGAGGAAGUGCGGCCGCCUAUGUUUGGUGCCGCAGGCAGCAGGACGCAUGCGCACCGCCGUGGCGCGUGUAUGUUCUCGUCGCUCUGCGCAGCUAAUCCACCAGUCUUCCGCUUAGACCUCUAGGCAGUAGUGCGCAUGCGCCAGAAGACCAAUAGGACGCGUUUGUGCCACCCGCGAGGGUGCAGGUGAGCGGUCGGUUCUUGGACAGCCGGCUCAGCAGUGCUCCCCCUGCUUCCAACCCAGGAUGCCCCUUGCCUAUUUCCUUGUGUGAGAAAUGCUUAAAGUUAAAGAUUCCUUGUUAGAUAAAGAUCAUAGUGAUAGCAGCAAAGAUUAUUCAUUAUUGCAGUAACGGGUGGAAAGACUGGAAACUUCACUGCAAAAACACAAUCCGCCUCUCACAUCUGUGCAAUCUUGCAGACCCAGAGCAUCCAGGGUAGUUUCUGCUUUUGUAGUAUUUGCGUGCUGCAAGGUGAGCAAAAGGUUUUACUGCUUGAUUGUUCUUCUCCAGGUGCUGGCUGCAAGAAUUGAGGAUGCGAUAGGAAGCAUUUGUCUCCAUGGCAACAUAGUUACACUCAGUCCAGAAAGCGUGAAAGUCAGGUUGAGGUGGCAAAGCACUGACUUGCUGGGGAUGAUGCAGUACUCAAAUGGUUAAAACUCACAGACGUUACUGUACGAGGAAUGGUGCUGUAUUGCGCUCCUGCCUUCAGCAGCCCCUGGAGAAAUGCUGUGUUGGAUGCAGCACCUUUAUGUUACCCUGACUGCUGCUGUGCUACACCCAAAACUCAUCUCUCCUUCGUUAGAAGCUGGAAAGGGAAGAAGGAAGUGAAGCAGGGGAAAGGAAAUUUUGAUGUAAUUUGGAAAAUAGUGUGGUUUGCUCAUCAUAGUAUCAAGAAGGGCUUUGGAUUUAAUCUACAGAAACCAGAGAAGCAGGACUUGCCUGAGAAACUGUAUCUGAAGAGGUGAGGUGGCGGCUGUGGACCUACAGACCAAGCAGUACUGCCUGACAUUGGUCAGGGUGAGCUCCUCCUGCUACAGCGCAGUGAUGACAGGUGUGGAGAUGAUCUGCACGGCCAGCUCCUAAGUGGGAGCCAGGAAUAAACACGGCUGGAGAAGAGAGGUGUUAGGAAGCAGCUGAGGCAUUGAAAUGCAUCAAAAAAACCCUGAAAAGCAUCACAAAGCCACUGCUAGGAAGCUUGGGGUUAUCAUGAGCAGCAUCCAGGAUGCUAGAGAGUAUUUGCUACCAUCCUAGAUGA